rnacentral:lncRNA from 1 species
CAGCAUUUCCUCCUAUCAAGAGUUUUGGCUAAUAGAGAGCUUUUCCGCCGCGGCUAGUAUAAUUUAUUUCCAAGUCUGUUGGUCCGGUGCGGAUUGGUUGCUUUCCUUCUAUGAGACCUGAAAAGCUCACAAGACAUAUCUGUAAUGUAAACCUGACACCAUGAAUAAUUGUCGCCACGAACGAAAUAUGGUCAUGAAUAAAGAUGCACUAGUGUUUUGUUACGUAUGAUUAUCAUGAAUUUUAGGGUGAGAGCUUUACCAUGGAUUUUUUUUUUAAACGGGUGAGGUCACUACCUGUUACAAAAUUAACAUGGUCUAAGAUUAAUUUUAAUCACACUGUAUAUAAUACAUAAAAAAUACAGACCUACUAGCAUAUAACAAAACCGUUGCUAGGACUCUAGAUAUUGAUUAAACCAUGACAAUUAAUGCAUAGAAGAUAAACGAACAGCAGAUUAAAAAGUGAAAGAAUCUUAGAGACGUACCGCAAAAAAGUGAUACAUAGAGAGAAUUAGUGAAAACCGCUGCGCACAGUGUCAGUAUCGCCAUGCGACCGUGUCCGAGCAUCUCGCUGCGCCACGCGUCUCCGCCGACCGGAGGCCGGCAUGGUGUGCGUGGGCCCGCUGCGACGUGGACACCAGUAUACUUACAUACUGUAGCUUAGAAAGUAAAGUAUCCGGGACGCGAUUCCGCACGUGCGUAUAAACAUGGGAAGCUUCCCGGUCGUCCCCUCGCGCUCUCUGGCACUUUGAUUUCCCCUUUGUCGCCGGUCGGCUUAUCUAAUUAAUCGAAGGGUACAGUAUGAUUUGGGUUAAGUACAGACAGCUAGCCAGCUGCGUGCUUCAGUUUGGACAAAUAAUUUUUGGCUUCGGCGACGUCGUACGCUAGCGUGGACGGCAAUAUAUAUCACGGGGCUAAUGAUUCCGGGUGGGGUGUCCCUAACCACUUCGAGAUAGGAGGAAUCUUUUGGCUCGGCAAUCACGCGACGGGUUCUUCAGCCUAAUCGUUCUACUGUUGUGACAGGGUUUAUUAUAUGUCGUGCAAAAAGUCUAAACACGUGCAGAAAUUUUGAAGAUUUUAGUACUCCCUUCUUCCAAAAUAAAAUUUGUUUUAAUUAAUUAACAUGUUCAUCCAAUAAUUGAUGUAUAUAAUUUAUAUAUAUAUAUGUUUAGAUUUAUCUUCAUCCAUUUAAAUAUAAACAUAAAGAGUAAAAAGUAAAACGACUAAUAUUUAGGAUAGAGGGAAUACAAGACAAUUGAAACAGUCCAAAGAGCAUGUGAUGAUGGAAGUGGAACAAUGUACCCGUUAAAUUUGUUUUUUUUUAAAACAUCGUAUAGAGAAGAGCUCACCUCUACGUUGCUCUAAAUCGCAGUUGCAUGUCUCUAGCAGCACUUUAAAUUCCAUAUGUUUUCAUUUGGUUAUUCACUUCCUAAUACUCUCUAACAACUAGUCAAAACUCUCCUUCCAUAUCCUAUUGACCUAUACUUUUUCUAGUGUUCAAACUUAAAAAAAAAAGCAUGCAUGUCCUUCAUUUUCUAAAAGUAACACAUGUCCUAGACUAGAGUCCAGAUAAUUUAGAAAACAAUUAGAUUUGAGGAAUUUAAUUUUAAACAUGCAAGAGAUUUUGAGUUAAUCAAAUUAAAGUAUAUUCUUCCUUGUGAUUUUAUGAUCUUGAUAAUGUCAUCUUUUGGAUUUAAGAAAGUAGAGGAAAGAAAUGAUUUUUUGAAGCAGGGCAUAGGUUUAGGCAAAAUAUCACUUAAACCAAUUAACCAACCAAAACCAAACCGAUUUAACCGAAAAAUGGUGGCAGCCAAAAUAUCCACGUUGUAUCUGCAAUCCGACUCUCGCACUAUUUGGUUUUGAGGUUGUUGUUAAUCGAUUUAGACCAGAUCUCCCAAUGAUUAUCAUAGUAGACAUGAAGGCAUUUGAAUGCUUAAAUGUAAGUAUUAUUUGUUUCUUUUCCUUUUGUUUUAUUGCAAUAUGCAUUUCUUGUUUGGUGCUUUUCCAUACAAUUUUUGUUGUUGCAAUGUUAUCCUUUGUACAAGCAUCACGCAAUGAGUACGGAAUAUAAUGCAACAAGUACAAGAGACAAUGUAAAACCAAAAUUGUGGUUGUCUGAUUAAUUGUACCAAUUUAAUAAAACUGGUUUUGAUCCAUCUUUGGUUUUGUGACAAUAAAUUCAAUUAGUAUAGUAGAGUAACUAAUUAAGAUAAGCUCACAAUAAAGGAUAAAACAGUCGGGCCUUUUUCGCUUUAGGCCAUAUUUAGAACUCAUAGAGCUAAUAAUUAGCUAGCUAACAAAUUAUUAGUUAGGUUAAGCUAGCUAAUGAAAUGAUUGUUAGUUGUGAGUUAGCUAACCAUUAGCUAGAUUAUUAGCUGGGGUGUUUGAAACCUCUACAUAUAACUUUAGCAGAUACCUAUUAACUCUAAAGUUUUCAAAUAGAGUCUCCGUAAAAAACUCUUGAAGAUGGAGUCUUAAACAAUUCCUUGAGUGCACGCACUAGAGAAGUGAAAUGAUUAUGCUAUUACCUUACGCACUAACUAACCACAUCUACACUUUGUUGCUAGUCUUAACUAAUAAUGUGCUAGCACAGUAAAAAGGUUUAUUCAGGACAAAGCUAGCCAAAUAAAAAUAAAGACUGACCUCUAGCUUAAAGGACACUUACUGCUUCUAUCAUGUUGCAGUUGUCCGGUGUACAUACAUUAAUCUAAAGCCGGACAAGGAAAAACAAUGGCGGGUGCCACAUGCGUGAUAUGACUUUUAUUAGCAAACUACGUAGGUGCCCGUGCGUUGCAACGGCAUCCAAUCAGGCAUAUAUUAAUCUUUCAAUUAUUCAUACUUGCCACAGAAGUUAAAAAAUAGUGUAAAACAUAGAUAUGAAAUAACAAAUAUCAAUAUGAUAUGUAAAAUCUGUGUGACAAUAUAAAUAUAUAAUAUUAUUAUAAAUAUGUCAACUCAAAUAAAAUCAACUGAUGUCGAACAAACAUUACAAUAUCGUAUAUAUUAUUUCUAAAGAAUCAACAUAGAAUUACAGGAACAUAUAAUAUCAUGGUAAUUUAUGUAUACGGAGUACAAUUCCAACUUUCUAAAGCUUAUGUGGUGCUUCAAGGUGUCAGUCGAAGGGUGGUCCCUCUUGAGAGUGACAUUAAGUUGCUCAAGCAAACCAGUUGUGGUGAGCAAUGGUGCCGCUAGGAGAGAUUCAACCUACUCGUCAUUGAUGAGGCAUCGUCUUCCCACAUUUGCAUAUGAGAUUUCUAAACACCAACCUGCAAGGCGCCAGGGACAAACAAUUAUAAUCAGGUAAACCAGGUCAUGAAUAAAGCUUUUCUGCCGCGGCUAGUAUAAUUUAUUUCCAAGUUUGUUGGUCCGGUGCGGAUUGGUUGCUUUCCUUCUGAGACCUGAAAAGCUCACAAGACAUGUCUGUAAACCUGACAUCGUGAAUAAUUGUCUCCACGAACGAAAUAUGGUCAUGAAUAAAGCUGCACAAGUGUUUUGUUACGUAUGAUUAUCAUGAA